UACGUAGGGUGCAAGCGUUUAAUCGGAAUUACUGGGCGUAAAGCGUGCGCAGGCGGUUUUGUAAGUCUGACGUGAAAUCCCCGGGCUCAACCUGGGAAUUGCGUUGGAGACUGCAAGGCUGGAGUCUGGCAGAGGGGGGUAGAAUUCCACGUGUAGCAGUGAAAUGCGUAGAGAUGCGGAGGAACACCGAUGGCGAAGGC
rnacentral:rRNA from 1 species